AAAAAAAAAUGUUAUUCGGGUUGUCGCCUGGUAGCACUGGGGGACUCAAAUCAGCCGGAAUCUUCGACGUUCAUCAGAAAGACCGAUCAACAAUGUCGCCCUCGAGCAUGGCCGGAGAUCUAAGCUCUUGCUCCGACGCGCUCGUCUGAAUCUCCCCCUACACCUUCUCCGCCGUCGGCAUUGCCAUAUCCAUCGGCGUCUCUGUCCUCGGAGCAGCCUGGCGGAUCUACAUAACCGGUAGCAGCUUGAUCGGUGCUGCAAUCAAAGCUCCGCUUCUUACCUCGAAGAAUCUAAUUAGCAGGCAGCCGGUUGACUGUCUUGAACUGAACUCUACCGUACUUGGCAGCCACUGGGGAUGGCGGCGGCGGGCUGUCUUGAACUGAAUUCUACCGUACUUGGCCACUCGGGACGGCGGCACUGGCGUCACCGACAAGAAUGAGGUGAUCACCGUCUCUGACAAGGAGGCAUAUCAGAACAAUUUGAUUCUCGAACAGGAGUCAUGCAGGAGUCAUGGGAAAACCGCGGUAUGAUCGACUCGCUCUGGAACUU